AAGGGCACCACAAGAACGCGUGGAGCAUGUGGCUUAAUUUGACUCAACGCGGGAAAACUUACCGGGUCCGGACACACUGAGGAUUGACAGGCGACCAUUUGUAAAUAUGCUAGUCCUUUCAUGAUUGUGUGAUAGGUGGUGCAUGGCCGUUCUUAGUUCGUGGAGUGAUCUGUCUGCUUAAUUGCGUUUCAGAUAAUAAGAGGUUAAAGAGUGUAUGUUGAGUGUCUUUUGCUUUGUUUACUCAGGGCAGCACCGACUGAGCUCGCCUCUUUGAAAGCAACGAACGUGACCGCAGCCCUUUGUUGAUACAUCUUUCAAUUGUAUUCUAACUAAGGGGACCGCCAGGGUUUUUAAAACCGGAGGAAGGUUGCGGCAAUAACAGGUCUGUGAUGCCCUUAGAUGUUCCGGGCUGCACACGUGCUGCAAUGAUUGUUGCAGAAAGCAUCUACACUUGAUUGUUCUCGAAGACUUUCAGUCGGAUGGAACCACGGAUUGGCGUGGGUGUUCUCUUCAUUGAGAGUGCUUGCAUGCCUAACGUGCAACCUACCUCGAAAGUUCGGUAGGCAAUCAAUUCCAAGUGACAAUCUCCUAUGUGUGCACAAAUCAAAUGCCACUGCUUGGCCUGCAUUCGUGCGGUCUCGCAGUUGACAUGUGCUCUAUAAAUUCGUGGUCGGGACAGACCAUUGCUAAUUGUUGGUCUCGGUCUCAACUAGGAAUGCCUUGUACGGGUCUUUGGUUCAACAAACCACCCGGAAUACGUCCCUGCCCUUUGUACACACCGCCCGUCGCUCUUACCGAUGGACUUCUCUGUGAGUUUGAGGGACUGGAUUUGAUCGCAUUCGUGCAUUAAUAUCUAUGGAAACUUAAACGAACAGUGUGGUCUAAAGGAAAGAGAAGUCGUAACAAGGCAUCUGUAGGUGAACCUGCAGAAGGAUCA
rnacentral:rRNA from 1 species